UUUGACGUUAGCGACAGAAGAAGCACCGGCUAACUCCGUGCCAGCAGCCGCGGUAAUACGGAGGGUGCGAGCGUUAAUCGGAAUUACUGGGCGUAAAGCGCAUGCAGGUGGUUUGUUAAGUCAGAUGUGAAAGCCCGGGGCUCAACCUCGGAAUUGCAUUUGAAACUGGCAGACUAGAGUACUGUAGAGGGGGGUAGAAUUUCAGGUGUAGCGGUGAAAUGCGUAGAGAUCUGA
rnacentral:rRNA from 1 species